UAGUACCCAUUCGGUUAUAGGAUAUAAAAUAUAGAUUUCUUUAUAACGUUCUUUCUUAAUUAUGAAAACUAGAUAUAGAUGACUCUGUUGGUCAGAUUAGUUUGAAUGGCGGUUUUAGAUCGUUUUGUCUAUUGUGUUGUAACGGUGCUUUUUAGAUGUUAUUGUUUUAAACCUAAGUGUAUUAUUUGUUAUCUUACGAUAAGAUUUACUCGCUUAAUUUUAACUGUACCGUUCUAUAUGUACUUUUGUUUUGUUUUGACAAAUCUCGUUUUUAACAAUCCUCUUGCACUUGACUGCCAGAAGCGGGAUCUGUACCACACACCACGACAAAUUUAUCCCAGUGAAAUGCAAUCAACAAUGCCACCACACUUUUCGAGACCUUACUGGAAGGCGGUAAAGUUCUUGCAAAUGUCGUAAAUGUCGUUCGAUCGGAUACUUUUGUGUCACUGCAGCGCUGUAAUAUAAGAGAAACAUACUAAGAAAAUAUUUAUACUUCACCUACUAAUUACUAAUAAUAAUAUUACUGUAAUAAAGCAACAUUGAUUUAAAAGAAUCAAUGAACAAGAUCAAAUAAAGUUUUGAAAAAACAAUGUAUUCUCCAUAAGUAAUGUAAUUAAAUCCAGUUAAAAUGUAUUUUA